rnacentral:rRNA from 1 species
GAGCNAUUAUACAGCGNCUAGCGAAUGNGCUCAUUAAAUCAGUUAUCGUUUAUUUGAUAGUACCUUACUACAUGGAUAACCGUGGUAAUUCUAGAGCUAAUACAUGCUAAAAAUCCCGACUUCGGAAGGGAUGUAUUUAUUAGAUUAAAAACCAAUGCCCUUCGGGGCUCUCUGGUGAUUCAUAAUAACUUCUCGAAUCGCACGGCCUUGCGCCGGCGAUGGUUCAUUCAAAUUUCUGCCCUAUCAACUUUCGACGGCUGGGUCUUGGCCAGCCGUGGUGACAACGGGUAACGGGGAAUUUACGGUGGCUNAUAUUUGUUAUUAUAAUCUUCGGAUUUUAAUAGCAAAUAUAAGUCGGCGACGAUUCAUUCGAAUUUCUGCCCCAUCAACUCUCGAUGGUAGGAUAGAGGCCUACCAUGGUCGCAACGGGUAACGGGGAA